UGUUUAGGCUGUGUGUGGUGUUUUCAACUUGUGUGUGUGUUUCUGUCUUUUUUAAUCUGUUUUUUCUGUUAGUAGGCUGGGGGCGCCCACCAGUGGAGAGUUCAGGGAAGUCCAGGGCUCCUGCUGCGGCAGUGUGUCUCUCCUCCCUGUGCUGUAUUAAGUUCUCUGUAACACAUUAAAUCCACAGGCUGUGAAAGAGAAUGGUUAGUUCGGGGAAAGCAAGGAUGAGAAGGGUUAGAGUCAGUGAAAUGAAGGGAGAAAUUGCCAAUAUCUGAUUGACAAGGGCAUGAAGAGGGAGAGGGGGUGCCUGGAACAGAACCUGUAUCCAAAAGGUAACCUUCAGCUUGUUUGAUUGUGUCUGGGUCUAGCCUAUCCCCAUAGCGUCUGUGGGCCCAGUUAGCAGCUACUUUUAGUGCUAAUUGGUCGCCUGGUGUAGUUAGCAGUGUGGCUAGUGUGUCUGUGUAGUGUUUAUGUAGGAUAUGCAUGUUCUCCUUCAUCCAAUUGUUUGUGUUUUGUUUUACUGACUGUGUUGUUUCUAUAGAUGGUGAGGCUGGUUUUAUAAAAAGAGCCAGUUUGGUCACCUGCCUCAUCGUUCCCUGGGGGAAGUUUCCAGUUUGGAUUGCUUCCCUAACAAUAUUCAGAUGAGUAGCUGUGGGCCUGUCUGUUCUCCCCCGGCCUCGUUCAAGCCGGGGCCCACCACCUUCACCCCCGUGAUAAUGACCAUAUGAGGAAGCGCCUACCUGAUUCCAUCUGCCUCCGGGCCGCUGCUGGUGGUAUUGUUGUGGCGGCCUCCAUCCCGUCCCUUGUCGUCCCCUGUCUGGGUUAUGCCUGAAACCAACGAGGCUCGGGUUCUCUGUGUGGCGUUCCAGCUGGGGUCCAUCUGGAUGAUCGUGGCCCGGACAGACGACCAUCCAUGGGCCAGAAAAUGGCUGACCAGAGGCGUGUGGGUUUCCCUCCGCCUCUGGAUGUUGUAGCGGUGUUGGGUGAACCGCUGUAAGAGCGUGUUUCUGGUCUCGCCCACAUACUGUAGGCCGCACAUAAGACAUGAAAUAAGAUACACGCAAUUUUUGGAGUGUGGAUUGCCACAUGCCAUGGUCUUAUGGACUGUUUUAUUGACAUGGCUGUGGAUCCAGGUGGCAUGUUUGAAAAAUUGGCCAUGGCCUCUGGAUUUUGAGGUCGAUAGGGGCUUAACUUUGGCUGUCACCAGAUGGUCCUGGAGGUUUUUGUUUUUCCUAUAGGCUGCUAUGAACCUGUGGUUAUUAAGGAGUCCCGGAUCAAUGAUUUUUUGUUGGAAAUUUUCUUUGAUUUUUCUGCACAGAGCGAUUGCUGGCUUGGAAUAGGUGGUGACGAAGGGGAGUACAUCCGACGUGUCUACUGGUUUUGUUUCCAGAAAGGUGCUGAGGGCCUUCCGCCGGAAGGAGCGUACAUAGCCCCUGGUGGCGAGAGCUCUGAAAAGCGUUUUUGUGGCCGCCAUGAAGUCACUUUUGUGUGUGCAGAUACGGUGGAAACGGAGUAAUUGUGAUUUCAAAAGGCCCCUAUAUGUGUGUUUGGGGUGGUGGCUGGUCUUAUAAAGCAGGGCAUGGGUGUCUGUUUCUUUGAAGAAAACUUUAAUGUCUAAUUUGUUUGUAUGCUGGAAAUUGAUCCCCUUGUAGGUGGUGGUAUCCAAGAAGUCGACCGACGUGGUGCUAGUGGUGGACUUCAGUGUGAUGGACGGGUUGUGAUUAUUCAAGGCUGCCAGGGCGGAGGUCUCCCAUUCGGCCAUGAAGAUGUUGGCAUAUGCCGGUGCAAAUUUUUUGCCCAUGGCAGUGCCUUUAAUUUGUAAAUAAAAUUUGCUGUCAAAUUCAAAA